GGGCUAUUAGCGCAGGCAGGUAGCGCAUCCGGCUCUUAACCGGCAGGUCGGGGGUUCGAUACUUCCAUCCUUAUCAG
rnacentral:tRNA from 1 species